rnacentral:lncRNA from 1 species
ACAUUCUUGAUCUUGAAUUUAAAAGUCCUAUGCUCAAAUUUUAAAGAUUAUUCAAUUUCCACCGUCCAUUUUGACAUAAUUUAUUUACUAAGUAAACGAUAUCGAAAAAAGCUAAAAUUUUAUUCCUUAGAACUUUAUAUACCCUAGAUCGUAUUUAACGGUGUAAAUUGUUAAUUUGAACACCCUAUGAUCGAAAACAAGACUAUAGUACCGAAUCUCCGGUACUAUAAAUAGUAUAGUAGUCUAAUUCU